GCAGGCUGGUACUAACCCUCACAGGCAGAAGGACUAACUUCAAUGUUCGGAGACAAAAUGGAUACAGGCAGGCCUAAAGGCCCUAAUUCUGAGGCGUAUCACAUUCAUGCUGCUGCUCGCUGAUUCUAAUAUGGGCUCUUGUCCUAGUCCCAUAAUGCUGGCCUCACCAUAUACUCCAUUUCUGGAAUCAGAUCCACAGUGUAUUCUCUGUUCCGGUGGCCCAGAUUCGGAAAAGUGCCCAUAACACCACUCCCCAGGGACACCUGCUGCUGAAUUCUGACUCCGGCAUCGGCCAGGGUGCUCCAUUCUACCAGGAUUAACUGUUUCACAGCCUUUCCAUUUGAGCUCAGAAUCAUUUAACCAAAGCACAAGUGAUCCACUUUUAAUUAUGAUACUGACAGGAAAUCCAAUAUAGGGGAGAGAACAUGGUGAGUUUGAAGCAUUCUGCCUGGUAUACUGUGACAUCUGAACAAAUUUGUAUUGAUGAUUUGGACAGGAUUUUAAAAGUAAUAAUCGGAGAACUAAACCAUCUUGAACUAUGAAGUUCAAAAACAGAUAAAGUUAAUUUAUCGUGAUAGAAGUCAGGAAAAAUAGUUACCUCUUGGGAGAGAGUCUUACUGAUUAGAAAGGAGCAAGAAGAAACUUUUGAGGUAAAGUAAAACGCGUUAUAUCUCACCUUGAUCUGGUUAGUGGUUAUACUUAAUAUUUGAGCAUUGUGCUGCAUGUAAAUUACCUCAAUUUUCCAAGCACAAAAAUAAAAGAGGAUAGACAAGAUUUUGAGAACGGAUUCAUUUUAUCUGUUCCUGCUUUUCAAACACAACUAUCCUUAACCACUAAAGACAGAUGAACAUCUGUACAGAAAUGGCUUUUCCUCUACAAAAGCAAAUAUUCUUACCUCUCACCGUCAAAUCCUACUAUUAAUAGUUUUAUUUGGUGAAAAGCAGAAUUAUUUAUUUAGGGUCAAAAAAGGACAAAUUUUUCAAACAUUUUCUUCUGUGAUCUAAAAAAGGAAGCAUAACUAGUAGGAAUUAACAAAGGGCAAGGCCUAAAUUCACCUACAUUUUUGUAAUUGAAAAUUGAUUACAUUAAGUCGUCAACAAUGACGCCGUUUAGUGUUGCUUGGCUGUCUGCCUAAGCAUUGGUUAGUAAAAGAAUGGUUUUGAAACAAAGUUACCACAUUAUUAUAACCUCUUUAUGCUCUUUUAAUUUUUCUCCUCAUGAUACUUUUGUCCUCCACCUCAGGCUUUAAAUGUUGCUCAUUUCUUAUAUUGUAAAUUAAAUACUGCAUUUUAACCUCUGAAAUAUAAAUUAUUGUGAAAAUUCAGUAAUUCAGUAAGAAUAAUUACCAGCCGUGAAAUAUAUUAACUGCCACAUACCUACUAUAUAGAACUGAAUAAGGUCAACUAAUUAACUUUCCUUGUGGGUGUCAUUCAGAAAUGACUAAGGGGUGAAAUCAUGUUAAGCUAAAAUAAGUCGAGACAAUGAAUUGCUUAAUGGUGUCUGAGCUGAAUUCUGAUUGCCUGUGUAAACAAUUCAUCAAUCUUACCAUCUUCUAGGGACUUGGGGGAAAUCAUUCCCUAUCCCCUGACACAAAAUAAAUAUGAAAAAGUUCAACUGUAAGUUUCUGGUUUUCAAGUACACUAAACAACAGAAAAUUGAAAUGAAUUCUCACUUAUUCUCAAAAUUGGAUUUUGUCACAAGAUGACAUGUUAUAUUUAGCGUAUAACAAGCUAUUGGCUGGGUUUGGUGAAGACUGUUCCAGCAAUUACAAGAUUUAAUUUUUAAGGGACUUAUUCUCUGUCUCCCCAUCUCUGUCCAAAAAAUAAAGUAAGGUUUGGUCCUAAAGUGAAAAUCUGGCAUUGCAUAUAUGUUGUUAAAUUAGUAAAUGAAUUUAAUCAUGGAAAUAUGGUUUCAGCAUGUUUUGUAAAGUUGGGGUGUGAGUAACUUCUCAAAGUGUUACAGUAGUUGGCUAGUCAGGUAUGAGCAGGGCAGCAGUGGCCACACACACACACACACACACACACACACACACAUCAGGCAACCAUCAGGUCAUGGUCAGGCAGUUGUUAACUGUCUUUCUAAAGUAAUAAUUGGUCACAGCCAACACCAGGGAAAGGCAGUCUCUUAAUAGAUAGAAAACACCUAAAACUGGUGAUCAGCAGCUUCCUGAUAAGAUCCCAGGAGUUGGGCGAGGGGGGUAAAGUAACACAAGACCUCAGAAGUAUGCCAAUGUGUAAAAGUCCAAAGGUCAAAUCAUGCGCUUGCCUUUCAGGUCACCCACUUGGCCCUCUUCCAAGUGUACUUUCCUUCCGAUCAUUCCUGCUCUAAAGCUUUUUAAUAAACUUCCACUUCUGCUCUAAAACAAUCUCUCCUUCUGCCUUAUACCCCUCAGUUGAAUUCUUUCUUCUGACAAGGCAAGAAUUGAGGUUGCUGCAGUACUGUAUGGAUACAAAUUCACCAGCAACGAAAACAAUGAAGGAAUAAGUUUAGUUAUAGAAUGUUGUCUUCAAUACCAACUCCACUACAAAUCUGCCACUUUAUAAGAUCAUUUGGACCUAGUGAUGAUCCAGCAUUUGUGACCUCUGUAUUCCAAUAAAACGCUUGUUAGACUAAAUGGUAAUUAUAUGUUAAUAUGUAUCUGUUGACACAUAUUGGGUGUGAAUACAUGAAUGAUGUAUUCAUUAUUCUUACCUCCUCUCUUCUUGUAUUUUGUAAUACCUGAUUCAUUCCAAAUAAAUUAUCACUUCAUUUCUCAUUUUUCCCACAAUGCCUCUGACUCUGGCUUCCUCUUGCAAGUUUAUCCCAUAAUAUCAUUAUAUUACUGGGUCCA
rnacentral:lncRNA from 10 species